rnacentral:lncRNA from 1 species
CCUCCAGUGAUGCGCACAGUCCCUGAUCCCUGUGCACGCUGGGAUUGUAGUCCUGCAGCCCUGCGAUCACUUGCAGGUAACAAGAAAUUUCAGCUUCCGGCAUGAUGGGCGAAGGCCCCCACCUUCAGCCUCGCUCCUCCAUGCCUUCAGAGCUGUUCCGCCAUGCAGACGGGGAGCCUGCCUGUUCUUUAACCUCUCCUACCUGAUGGGAGAGGACAAGCUACCAGGACAGCUUGUCUCACCAAGAAAUUGUGAUACCGCAUCCCCCAACGUGCUGGCUUCCUGACUUCCAAAGUUGCGGCAAGGUAAGAAGAACUACAGAGGAAGAACCUAAUGCAGACGUUUCCCAGGAGACUUUAACUGAAGUAUCAGCAAACUGAAAGGUAACGAGAGAAUCUUGUGCCUCUGAGGGUGUCUUUCCCAUGGAUCCCUGCUCAGUUGCCUUUCACGGGCCCCCUGAUUUGCGUGAACUCCUGACCUCAGAUGAUCCGCCUGCCUUGGCCCUCCAAAGUGCUGGAAUUAUAGGCAUGAGCCACCGUGCCUGGCCUGUUCCAUGCAUUAAAAAAAAAUAAAAAAAUUAAAAAAAAUCAGUGAGAACAAGAAGAAAUGUAAAUGCUGG